GACGAACGCUGGCGGCGUGCUUAACACAUGCAAGUCGAACGAGUGGCGAACGGGUGAGUAAUACGGGAUUAACCUGCCCUCUUUUUGGGAUAAGCCUUGGAAACGGGGUCUAAUACCGGAUAAUGGGGGCGGGGCUCGCGGCCUUUCAGCUUGUUGGUGGGGUGAUGGCCUACCAAGGCGGUGACGGGUAGCAGGCCGGAGGGGGCGACCGGCACUAUGAGGACUGAGAUACGGCCCAGGCUCCUAGGGGUAGGAGCAGUUGGGGAUAUUGGGCAAUGGGCGAAAGCCUGGUGCGGGUAAGCCGCGUGGGGGGUGGAGUCUUUCGGGUUGUAAAUCUCUUUCGAUAUCGAACGGGUAGGUGGAGAAGAAGCGCCGGCUAACUACGUGCCAGCAGCCGCGGUAAUAC
rnacentral:rRNA from 1 species